rnacentral:tRNA from 1 species
GCCUCGAUGGUUUAAUGGCUUAGAACGCUUGUACAGAAUACAAGAGAUUCGGGUUCAAAUCCCGGCCAAGGUA